UACGUAGGGUGCGAGCGUUGUCCGGAAUUAUUGGGCGUAAAGAGCUCGUAGGCGGUCUGUCGCGUCUGCUGUGAAAUCCCGAGGCUCAACCUCGGGUCUGCAGUCGAUACGGGCGGACUGGAGUUCGGCAGGGGAGACUGGAAUUCCUGGUGUAGCGGUGAAAUGCGCAGAUAUCAGGAGGAACACCGGUGGCGAAGGCGGGUCUCUGGGCCGAUACUGACGCUGAGGAGCGAAAGCGUGGGGAGCGAACAGG
rnacentral:rRNA from 1 species